rnacentral:rRNA from 1 species
GAUAAACGCUGGCGGCGUGCCUAAUACAUGCAAGUCGAACGAGGGAUCCUUGUAGCAAUACGGGGAUUUCCUAGUGGCGAAUGGGUGAGUAACGCGUUGGUGACCUGCCCCAAAGAGAGGAAUAACUCCGGGAAACUGGAGCUAAUACCUCAUGUGGUUGCGAGAUUUAGAAACUCGCAACUAAAGGAGAAAUCCACUUUGGGAGGGGCCUGCGUCCCAUCAGCUAGUUGGUAGGGUAAUGGCCUACCAAGGCUUCGACGGGUAGGGGGCCUGAGAGGGUGGCCCCCCACACUGGCACUGAAACACGGGCCAGACACCUACGGGUGGCAG